rnacentral:rRNA from 1 species
UACGGAGGGGGCUAGCGUUGUUCGGAAUUACUGGGCGUAAAGCGCACGUAGGCGGACUGGAAAGUCAGGGGUGAAAUCCCGGGGCUCAACCCCGGAACUGCCUUUGAAACUUCCAGUCUUGAGGUCGAGAGAGGUGGGUGGAAUUCCGAGUGUAGAGGUGAAAUUCGUAGAUAUUCGGAGGAACACCGGUGGCGAAGGCGGCCCACUGGCUCGAUACUGACGCUGAGGUGCGAAAGCGUGGGGAGCAAACAGG